rnacentral:misc_RNA from 1 species
AAUUCGUUUACUCUGCUCCUGUUGAAUGUUACUGAAGUAGGCGCGAGUUGAGAAAAUCGAGAGUUGAAGUUACAGAGAUCGGCUACUUUGUUAAACUCUGGAUGAUUUUGUUGAUAAAUGCGUUUAUUAUAAAUGUUUGGAUCCAUGAGAUAGCGAUUCCAUACUUGACGAUUUAAUUGAGUGAAUUUCUGCUUACCAGUAGCUAACUCAGCGAAUAAGUUGAGGAACUCAG